rnacentral:tRNA from 1 species
GCGUCAGUGGUUCAGUGGUAGAAUACUCGCCUGCCACGCGGGUGACCCGGGUUCGAUUCCCGGCCGACGCA